CUCCACUUCCGAGCCGGAUGUCGCCGGUGGGGAAUGUGGUGUGCGUCGCGAGAGGGAACCCGGUGGGAGUCCGGGACUGCCCCGCAGCGGUAUGUGGGAACGACAGUCGCCAUAAGCACUGGUAAUCCGGUCGGUUUGGUCGGAAACUGGGAAGCGGUGACCGGUAGGUCGCCGGUGCGCGCACCGGCGGUGCCCACGAGUCCGAAGACCUGCCUCCACCCGGCGGCGCAC
rnacentral:ncRNA from 2 species